rnacentral:rRNA from 1 species
UACGUAGGGUGCGAGCGUUAAUCGGAAUUACUGGGCGUAAAGCGUGCGCAGGCGGUGAUGUAAGACCGAUGUGAAAUCCCCGGGCUUAACCUGGGAACUGCAUUGGUGACUGCAUUGCUGGAGUAUGGCAGAGGGGGGGUGGAAUUCCACGUGUAGCAGUGAAAUGCGUAGAGAUGUGGAGGAACACCGAUGGCGAAGGCAGCCCCCUGGGCCAAGAUUGACGCUCAUGCACGAAAGCGUGGGGAGCAAACAGG